GUCCGUGUCGAUUAGUGGUCAAAUCAUCUCGUUGUGGAAUGAUCGUAUCAUGCUCAGCUCCGAGAAGCCGCAGGCUCGAAUCCUGCUACGGACA